rnacentral:rRNA from 1 species
UUCCAGACUCCUACGGGAGGCAGCAGUGGGGAAUAUUGGGCAAUGGGCGCAAGCCUGACCCAGCAACGCCGCGUGAAGGAAGAAGGCUUUCGGGUUGUAAACUUCUUUUGACAGGGAAGAGUAGAAGACGGUACCUGUCGAAUAAGCCACGGCUAACUACGUGCCAGCAGCCGCGGUAAUACGUAGGUGGCAAGCGUUGUCCGGAUUUACUGGGUGUAAAGGGCGUGUAGCCGGGUUGACAAGUCAGAUGUGAAAUCCUGCGGCUUAACCGCAGAACUGCAUUUGAAACUGUUGAUCUUGAGUACUGGAGAGGCAGACGGAAUUCCUAGUGUAGCGGUGAAAUGCGUAAAUAUUAGGAGGAACACCAGUGGCGAGGGCGGCUUACUGGGCUUUAACUGACGCUGAGGCUCGAAAGCGUGGGUAGCAAACAGGAUUAGAUACCCUUGUA